CGAGGAACACGUGGGCAACCUGUCUCUGAGGUGGGGAAAACCGCUGGAAACGGCGGCUAAUACCGAAUGUAGCGCCCGCUCGCAUGAGCGGAGCGACCGAAAGGGGGCGAAAGCCUCCCCCUCUCCGGAGGGGCCCGCGCACCAUCAGCUUGUGGCGGGUAACGGCCCACCAAGGCUCACGGUUAGCUGGUCUGAGAGGAUGGCCAGCCGCACUGGGACUGAGAUACUGCCCAGACUCCUACGGGAGGCUGCAGUCGAGGAUCAUUUGCAAUGGGCGAAAGCCUGACAAUGCGACGCUGCGUGGAGGAUGAAGGCCCUCGGGUUGUAAACUCCUGUCAGUGGGGGAAAAGGAAACUCCACCUAAUACGUGGGGGAUUUGAUGGUACCCCAAGAGGAAGCGACGGCUAACUCUGUGCCAGCCGCAGC
rnacentral:rRNA from 1 species